ACUGCUCAGUAACACGUGGCUAAUCUGCCCUUAGGACGAGAACAACCCCGGGAAACUGGGGCUAACUCUCGAUAGGCGAAGAACUCUGGAAUGAGUCUUUACCUAAAUAGUGCAACGUUAUCCUCGUUGCAUCGCCUAAGGAUGAGGCCGCGACCGAUCAGGUUGUUGGCGAGGUAAUGGCUCACCAAGCCUUUUACCGGUGCGGGCCGUGAGAGCGGGAGCCCGGAGAUGGGCACUGAGACAAGGGCCCAGGCCCUACGGGGCGCAGCAGUCGCGAAAACUUUGCAAUAAGCGAAAGCUUGACAGGGCUAUCCCGAGUGCCAUCCGCUGAGGAAGGCUUUUACCCAGUCUAGAACGCUGGGGGAAUAAGGAGAGGGCAAGUCUGGUGUCAGCCGCCGCGGUAAUACCAGCUCUCCGAGUGGUGUGGAUGUUUAUUGGGCCUAAAGCAUCCGUAGCUGGCUAGGUCAGUCCCUUGUUAAAUCCACCGAAUUAAUCGUUGGAUUGCGGGGGAUACUGCUUGGCUAGGGGACGAGAGAGGCAGACGGUAUUUUCGGGGUAGGGGUGAAAUCCUAUAAUCCCGGGAAGACCACCAGUGGCGAAGGCUGUCUGCUAGAACGCGCCCGACGGUGAGGGAUGAAAGCUGGGGGAGCGAACCGGAUUAGAUACCCGGGUAGUCCCAGCUGUAAACGAUGCAGACUAGGUGUUUGGACGGCCACGUGCCGUUCUAGUGCCGCAGGGAAGCUGUUAAGUCUGCCGCCUGGGGAGUACGAUCGCAAGAUUGAAACUUAAAGGAAUUGGCGGGGGAGCAC
rnacentral:rRNA from 2 species